GGCGUGGUGGUCUAGUGGUAUGAUUCCUUCUUAGGGUUGGCUUGCAACGAUGUGGAGGAGGUCCCGAGUUCAAUCCUCGGCCAGGCCC